rnacentral:rRNA from 1 species
CCUACGGGUGGCAGCAGUGAGGAAUAUUGGUCAAUGGGCGUAAGCCUGAACCAGCCAAGUCGCGUGAGGGAUGAAGGUUCUAUGGAUCGUACACCUCUUUUAUAAGGGAAUAAAGUGUGGGACGUGUCCUGUUUUGUAUGUACCUUAUGAAUCAGUAUCGUCUAACUCCGUGCCAGCAGCCGCGGUAAUACGGAGGAUCCGAGCGUUAUCCGGAUUUAUUGGGUUUAAAUGGUUCGUAGGCGGCCUUUUAAGUCAGCGGUGAAAGUCUGUGGCUCAACCAUAGAAUUGCCGUUGAAACUGGGAGGCUUGAGUAUGUUUGAGGCAGGAGGAAUGCGUGGUGUAGCGGGGAAAUGCUUAGAUAUCAAGCAGAACCCCGAUUGCGAAGGCAGCCUGCCAAGCCAUGACUGACGCUGAUGCACGAAAGCGUGGGGAUCAAACAGGAUUAGAUACCCUAGUAGUC